UGAUUUAAUAUUCUCACAGCCAUGGCGUAACAAUUUUUCGAGUAUAGCGCGGUGCAACAUGCAGGCACCCGCAGCCGUGUUGGAUCCCUCGGUAUAUAUAAGCAGGUUUCUUUUAUUAAAAUUUUCA